GACGAACGCUGGCGGCGUGCUUAACACAUGCAAGUCGAACGGAAAGGCCCUGCUUUUGCGGGGUGCUCGAGUGGCGAACGGGUGAGUAACACGUGAGUAUCCUGCCCUUGACUUUGGGAUAACUUCAGGAAACUGGGGCUACUACCGGAUACGUGCUCCUGCUGCAUGGUGGGGGUUGGACAGUUUCGGCGGUUGGGGAUGGACUCGCGGCUUAUCAGCUUGUUGGUGGGGUAGUGGCAUACCAAGGCUUUGACGGGUAGCCGGCCUGGGAGGGGGGCCGGCGACAUUAGGACUGAGAUACGGCGCAGACUCCUACGGGAGGCAGCGGUGGAGAAUAUUGCACAAUGGGCGGAAGCCUGAUGCAGAAACGCCGCGUGCGGGAUGACGGCCUUCGGGUUGUAAACCGCAUUCGCCUGUGACGAAGCGGGAGUGACGGUAAUGGGUAAAGAAGCACCGGCUAACUACGUG
rnacentral:rRNA from 1 species